rnacentral:lncRNA from 1 species
GAAUCUUAAGUUUUUGCUUGUUGUUGUAUAAAUUUAUCAGGUUAUGUGUGUGGAAUAACGUUCAUAUCUCAACAAAGAAAAUAGGUCAUUACAAUUAGUAUCAUAGCCCUCGUUCCUCGAAACAAUCCCUUAUAUCAUGAGGUUUAGGAUUCUUAUGAGAUUUAAAGUCAAAAGAAAUUAGUUAAUACACUCCUUAAGAAAUGUUUUGGAACUUCCUCUAAAAUAGCUGCAGGUAUGAAGAAGUUAUAUUAUAGUUCCAAAAGCCUAAAAAUUUAGAAGUU